UCGAACCCAACUAAAGAAAGAUGAGGUUCCCAAAGUGUUGCGUUGAAAUAGUGGCUCCUUAUAUUAUUGGUAUGGGGCAGACCACCGCGUUGAAACGGCAAAAACUUGACACUGGGUACACUUAUUGGCCUCAAAUUAAGACUGGGGAGAACAAAACACGAUUCUAUUCCAAAAUCUUGAACCAAAUGAAAAACUGUUUUUUAUGAAAAACUUGUGAAAAACGUAGAUGGCUUACGAAAAACAGUUUUUAUGAAAAAUUUAUUGACAAUGGGUUUACUUGACAAAUACCUUAAUCUUAACAUAUUUGCAUGACAAAUGCUUCACUGUGACUUCGGUUUCCUUGAACACCUUGUAUGAGGCAUUCUUACAAACACCGGUUUGCUUCUUCACCGGUUGAAAACUUUUGCCCGAAGACUACCAUUUGAA